GAUGAACGCUGGCGGCGUGCUUAACACAUGCAAGUCGAACGGAACUACUCCAAUGAGAGUCUUCGGAAAGGAUUUGGUUUAGUUUAGUGGCGGACGGGUGAGUAACGCGUGGGUAACCUGCCCUAUACAGGGGGAUAACAGUUGGAAACGACUGUUAAUACCGCAUAAGCGCACAGGAGCGCAUGCUCCGGUGUGAAAAACUCCGGUGGUAUAGGAUGGACCCGCGUCUGAUUAGCUGGUUGGUGGGGUAACGGCCCACCAAGGCGACGAUCAGUAGCCGGCCUGAGAGGGUGAACGGCCACAUUGGGACUGAGACACGGCCCAAACUCCUACGGGAGGCAGCAGUGGGGAAUAUUGCACAAUGGGGGAAACCCUGAUGCAGCGACGCCGCGUGAGCGAAGAAGUAUCUCGGUAUGUAAAGCUCUAUCAGCAGGGAAGAAAAUGACGGUACCUGACUAAGAAGCCCCGGCUAACUACGUG
rnacentral:rRNA from 1 species